rnacentral:rRNA from 1 species
GAUGAACGCUGGCGGCGUGCCUAAUACAUGCAAGUCGAGCGAACGGACGAGAAGCUUGCUUCUCUGAUGUUAGCGGCGGACGGGUGAGUAACACGUGGAUAACCUACCUAUAAGACUGGGAUAACUUCGGGAAACCGGAGCUAAUACCGGAUAAUAUUUUGAACCGCAUGGUUCAAAAGUGAAAGACGGUCUUGCUGUCACUUAUAGAUGGAUCCGCGCUGCAUUAGCUAGUUGGUAAGGUAACGGCUUACCAAGGCAACGAUGCAUAGCCGACCUGAGAGGGUGAUCGGACACACUGGAACUGAGAAACGGUCCAGACUCCUACGGGAGGCAGCAGUAGGGAAUCUUCCGCAAUGGGCGAAAGCCUGACGGAGCAACGCCGCGUGAGUGAUGAAGGUCUUCGGAUCGUAAAACGCUGUUAUUAGGGAAGAACAUAUGUGUAAGUAACUGUGCACAUCUUGACGGUACCUAAUCAGAAAGCCACGGCUAACUACGUG